UUUCAUUACAGAAUGUACACCACAUUUUCAGUGGAAAUAAUAGAGCACCACCAAAUGAAACACAAAGUGAAAGGACCAGCCAAUCCAUGGUAAUCAUCUGGGAAAAAGCAUGCACAGGAAAAAGAACGCUUUUUCAGUUGUUCGACUCAUAGUUGAGCCUGCAAUGUGCUUGACACAAUCGAUAGUCUACUUCAAGAACUAGGUAGAGGAAAUGCUACUUGGUUUUCUUUAGGAGACUUGAUGUUCUAAACUCCGCAUCAUCCCUGACAAAGCACCACCAAAGGUAGGCAAGUGGGAUGGUACUAGCAUGCCAAAGAGCAUGUGCAUCAACAAAUCCCUGAUAUGGUGGGAAGUCAAAUAUUUCCAAGAGCACAGCGAGACCUCCACCCACAACCACCACCCACAGCUUCCACCGGGAUGGAUGACGAGUCAUACCUGCCCAAAUUGUCCAAAUGAGCAGCUGAGCUACACCCAUGGCUCCACAUACUUUCAUGUUCAGGCCAUAAUCAAGAUU
rnacentral:misc_RNA from 1 species